rnacentral:rRNA from 1 species
AAACUUUCAACAAUGGAUCUCUUGGCUCUCGCAUCGAUGAAGAACGCAGCGAAAUGCGAUAGGUAAUAUGAAUUGCAGAAUUCCGUGAAUCAUCAAAUUUUUGAACGCAAAUUGCACUUCUUGGUAUUCCGAGGAGUACACAUGCUUGAGGGUCAGUU